GGUAAAGCUUUUGCGGUUUGGGAUGGGCCUGCGUCCUAUCAGGUAGUUGGUGAGGUAAAUGCUCACCAAGCCUAUGACGGGUAGCUGGUCUGAGAGGAUGGUCAGCCAGACUGGGACUGCGACACGGCCCAGACCCCUACGGGAGGCAGCAACUAGGAAUUGUGCGCAAUGGACGAAAGUCUGACGCCGCGACAUCGCGUGGAGGAUGAAGGUCUUCGGAUUGUAAACUCCUUUUCUUACCGAACAAGUUCUGAGUGUAGGUAAGGAAUAAGUGCCUGCUAACCACGUGCCAGAAGCAUCGGUAAUACGUGGGGCACGAGCGUUAUCCGGAUUUACUGGGCGUAAAGAGAAGCGUAGGCGGCUCAAUAAGUUUGGUGUUAAAUCUUCCGGCUCAACCGGAAACAAGCACCGAAAACUAUCGAGAUUGAGUCGAGUAGGGAAGAGGGGAAUUCCUGGUGGAGCGGUUAAAUGCGUAGAUAUCAGGAGGAAUACCAAGGGCGAAGGCACCUCUUUGGACUCGUACUGACGCUGAGGCUCGAAAGCGUGGGUAGCAAAACGGAUUAGAUACCCGUGUAGUCCACGCCGUAAACGAUCCCUGUUAGAUGU
rnacentral:rRNA from 1 species